rnacentral:tRNA from 1 species
GGGGAUGUGGUGAAAUUGGUAUACACGCAUGCCUUAGGAGCAUGUGCCGCAAGGCGUGAGAGUUCGAGUCUCUCCAUCCCCACAA